UUGACCUCGGAUCAGGUAGGGAUACCCGCUGAACUUAAGCAUAUCAAUAAGCGGAGGAAAAGAAACCAACAGGGAUUGCCUCAGUAACGGCGAGUGAAGCGGCAAGAGCUCAAAUUUGAAAGCUGGGCCUUUCAGGUCCCGCAUUGUAAUUUGCAGAGGAUGCUUCGGGAGUGGUCCCCAUCUA
rnacentral:rRNA from 2 species